rnacentral:rRNA from 1 species
UACGAAGGGGGCUAGCGUUGCUCGGAAUCACUGGGCGUAAAGGGUGCGUAGGCGGGUUUCUAAGUCAGAGGUGAAAUCCUGGAGCUCAACUUUGGAACUGCCUUUGAAACUCCCAGUCUUGAGGUCGAGAGAGGUGAGUGGAAUUCCGAGUGUAGAGGUGAAAUUCGUAGAUAUUCGGAGGAACACCAGUGGCGAAGGCGGCUCACUGGCUCGAUACUGACGCUGAGGUGCGAAAGCGUGGGGAGCAAACAGG